rnacentral:rRNA from 1 species
ACGCUUGGUAACCGUGCGUAGAGUGCAAUAGCAAAAGGGUGCUUGACUGUGAGACAAACAAGUCGAUCAGGUACGAAAGUAGGAUAUAGUGAUCCGGUGGUAUAGUAUGGAAUAGCCAUCGCUCAAAGGAUAAAAGGUACUCUGGGGAUAACAGGCUGAUCUCCCCCAAGAGCUCACAUCGACGGGAGGUUUGGCACCUCGAUGUCGGCUCGUCACAUCCUGGGGCUGGAGAAGGUCCCAAGGGUUCGGCUGUUCGCCGAUUAAAGUGGCACGCGAGCUGGGUUCACGUCGUGAGACAGUUCGGUCCCUAUCUGUUGUGGGCGUAGGAAUAUUGACAGGUUCUGACUUUAGUACGAGAGGACCGAGUUGGACUGACCUCUGGUGUAUCAGUUGUCCUGCCAAGGGCAUAGCUGAGUAGCUACGUCGGGACCAGAUAAGCGCUGAAAGCAUCUAAGUGCGAAACUGACCUGAAGAUGAGUAUUCCAAAUAAGGGCCGUUGUAGAUGACAACGUUGAUAGGUUGCAGAUGUAUAGGUAGAGAUACCAGAGUCGAGCAAUACUAAUUACCCAAUAGCUUAUGAUAU